GUACACUCCUGCGGGAGGCAGCAGUGGGGAAUAUUGGACAAUGGGCGCAAGCCUGAUCCAGCCAUGCCGCGUGAGUGAUGAAGGCCCUAGGGUUGUAAAGCUCUUUCACCGGUGAAGAUAAUGACGGUAACCGGAGAAGAAGCCCCGGCUAACUUCGUGCCAGCAGCCGCGGUAAUACGAAGGGGGCUAGCGUUGUUCGGAUUUACUGGGCGUAAAGCGCACGUAGGCGGACUAUUAAGUCAGGGGUGAAAUCCCGGGGCUCAACCCCGGAACUGCCUUUGAUACUGGUAGUCUUGAGUUCGAGAGAGGUGAGUGGAAUUCCGAGUGUAGAGGUGAAAUUCGUAGAUAUUCGGAGGAACACCAGUGGCGAAGGCGGCUCACUGGCUCGAUACUGACGCUGAGGUGCGAAAGCGUGGGGAGCAAACAGGAUUAGAUACCCGGGUAGUCCCAUG
rnacentral:rRNA from 1 species